AUUUUUUUUCAGUGUCAGAAGAUAUUUGACAAACUUGGAACGAUACAGAGAAUUAACUUGACCCCUACAUAAGGAUGGCAACUCAAGAGUGUUGCAAACCUCACCUAU
rnacentral:snRNA from 2 species